UACAGAGGUCCCAAGCGUUGUUCGGAUUCACUGGGCGCAAAGGGUGCGUAGGCGGUCGGGUAAGUCUGACGUGAAAUCUCCGGGCCUAACCCGGAAACUGCGUUGGAAACUACCUGGCUAGAGGAAUGGAGGGGAGACUGGAAUACUUGGUGUAGCGGUGAAAUGCGCAGAUAUCAGGAGGAACACCAAUGGCGAAGGCAGCUCGCUGGGACGGUACUGACGCUGAGACGCGAAAGCAUGGGGAGCAAACAGG
rnacentral:rRNA from 1 species